CAGCAACCUGCUUUUGGAACACAAAGAAAAAGCAACAGUGUUGGGGAGUCAGUGAAAACUUCACCAAUACGCUCAUGUCAUGAGCGGAUUGAGCUUACUUAAUUCUCAGAAAAAUGAAAUAACUUGGACAAAUGUUAUCUGAGGAUUAAAAAUGAUAAUUACUAUAGUUUGCAUAAGAUAUGGCUCCCUGAUCAAUGCAGAUGUUGAAACCCCAAAGUUGUAAGUUAUCAGUACUAAAACUUGAAACUUCUUCUGAUUAGGUCAUUGGGAGGGGGCCACUCAGAAGGUCAUGCUAGCAGUGCAGUUGACUAUGAAGCCUGAGUUGCGCCCAGUCUCUCUACUUCCUGGCCCACCCUCAGACCCUUAGCCUGCACACACCCUCCUUCACUAGUCUUCAAGGGUUGGAUAGUCAAACCAGUGGGACCCACCUGGUCUUGGACUGUAAAUCUCCCAAACUGUGAGCUAAAAUGACCCUUUUCCUUCACAAGGUGAUGGAAAGUUAAUCAUAUGUGCAUAAUUAUUCGUGGAAUACUUCGCACUUAAAAAGCAUUCAAAAACAAUCAUUAAAAUUAAUAAUAAUAAUUCUGAAACAGGAAAAAGUGGAGAGAAGAGUACUCCAACCAGGAAGACCAGCAUGGAAAGAGGUGCAUGGUGGCUGGAAUCAAGAUGCGUUUGGAGGAGCUGCAGGAACCAAAAUCACAAAGAAGGUGUCAGUCUUUGGAUCUCCACAAACUCAACAAGCAACAUGCUCUAAACAUCCCGGAGAACUCCUGCCGUGACCUCUGUGCUUUUCCUUUGACUGGACCAUUUCCGUCGCUUGACUACCACUGCUUGACUGUGCCCUGUCUUCAGGAUCUCACUGGAGAAGCCAGUUACAAUCCUUCUGUAAAACCCAUUUCUUCAACAUUUCCAGUGAAAUCUGCUCUUGGCUACAGCGGAGGCCUGAGCCUUCCUAGUGUCAACUCAUGUUGAUGGGUGCCCACUCACGCAGGACUACCUCUGAAGGAGGGUGUCAGAUCCUGGCAACCUGCAGGCCAAGAAACACAGGUCUGGGUGAAAAAUGAUGCCAAAGAAUUAUAACAUUGAAGAAAGCAGCUACUGAAAUACUGCAGCCCACAAGACCCAAACUCCCUAGGAGGCCUUGAGUGCCAGAGACACAGAAUACCAGAGUG